UAGGGAAUCUUCCACAAUGGACGAAAGUCUGAUGGAGCAACGCCGCGUGUGUGAUGAAGGCUUUCGGGUCGUAAAGCACUGUUGUAUGGGAAGAACAGCUAGAAUAGGAAAUGAUUUUAGUUGACGGUACCAUACCAGAAAGGGACGGCUAAAUACGUGCCAG
rnacentral:rRNA from 1 species